rnacentral:rRNA from 1 species
ACGAACGCUGGCGGCGUGGAUAAGACAUGCAAGUCGAACGAGACAACAUCUGUAGCAAUACAGGUGUUGUUUAGUGGCGAACGGGUGCGUAACACGUGGGCAAUCUGCCGAGAAGUGGGGGAUAGCUCGCCGAAAGGCGAAUUAAUACCGCAUAUGAUCAGGGAGGACAUCCUCUCGACAUCAAAGCCGGGGCAACCUGGCGCUUCUUGAUGAGCCCGCGGCCUAUCAGCUAGUUGGUGAGGUAACGGCUCACCAAGGCUUUGACGGGUAGCUGGUCUGAGAGGACGACCAGUCACACUGGAACUGAGACACGGUCCAGACACCUACGGGUGGCAGCAGUCGAGAAUUUUUCUCAAUGGGGGCAACCCUGAAGGAGCGACGCCGCGUGGAGGAUGAAGGCUUUCGGGUUGUAAACUCCUGUCAUUUGGGAACAAGCUGCAUCGAUUAACUGUCGAUGCAUUGA